rnacentral:sRNA from 1 species
UGCACAGCCUGCGGCGCAGCGGAGGCGGAGCGCAGUCAAGUCUGCAGAGUGGUGCGUCUGUAGCCAGCAAAUUACUUUAUCAUCUAGAUUAUCCAUUCAAUUGAUCCUAAUUAGCAAGGAUAACAAGAAUCGUCCGCACUUCAGUCCCCUGCAGCGUGACCAUGUCGAGACCCCGGAAGAGGCUGGCUGGGACUUCUGGUUCAGACAAGGGACUAUCAGGAAAACGCACCAAAACUGAGAACUCAGGUGAGGCAUUAGCUAAAGUGGAGGACUCCAACCCUCAGAAGACUUCAGCCACUAAAAACUGUUUGGAGAAUCUAAGCAGCCACUGGCUGAUGAAGUCAGAGCCAGAGAGCCGCCUAGAGAAAGGUGUAGAUGUGAAGUUCAGCAUUGAGGAUCUCAAAGCACAGCCCAAACAGACAACAUGCUGGGAUGGUGUUCGUAACUACCAGGCUCGGAACUUCCUUAGAGCCAUGAAGCUGGGAGAAGAAGCCUUCUUCUACCAUAGCAACUGCAAAGAGCCAGGCAUCGCAGGACUCAUGAAGAUCGUGAAAGAGGCUUACCCAGACCACACACAGUUUGAGAAAAACAAUCCCCAUUAUGACCCAUCUAGCAAAGAGGACAACCCUAAGUGGUCCAUGGUAAAGACUAUGCUUUCUAUUUCAUGACAGGGGAGGGAUGAACCAAGGGAAGAAGACGGUUGGGGUGACUGUAGGUCAAGGUACACAGCCCAGCACUUACUCAGAUGAGGCGAUACUGAUAGGAGCUUCCUGCGGGCGGUUAAAAAUACAGUGGGCACAGUCAGCCUAGACACGUCUUUCUGUCAUGUACACUGUUGUCACAUAGGUGGAUGUACAGUUUGUUCGGAUGAUGAAACGUUUCAUUCCCCUGGCUGAGCUCAAAUCCUAUCAUCAAGCUCACAAA